UACGGGGGGGGUAAGCGUUGUUCGGAAUUACUGGGCGUAAAGGGCUCGUAGGCGGCCAACUAAGUCAUACGUGAAAUCCCUCAGCUUAACUGGGGAACUGCGUGUGAUACUGGAUGGCUUGGAUUUGGGAGAGGGAUGCGGAAUUCCAGGUGUAGCGGUGAAAUGCGUAGAUAUCUGGAGGAACACCGGUGGCGAAGGCGGCUCACUGGACUGGUAUUGACGCUGAGGUGCGAGAGCGUGGGGAGCAAACAGG
rnacentral:rRNA from 1 species